CCCAGUAAGCUUCAAUGAGCUAUUCGAUCCGGUUAAAUCUAAAAAAUGAGCACACGGAUUUUAAGAUUAGUCUACUCAAAAAGAGCCGCCAUCUUGUGGGGGUAUGUUAAGAGAAUAAAUUCCACAUCGGUUAAAUACCGAAAUAUUGACCAAUUUAAAUAGAUUUUCGGCCACUUCUCUUAACAAAGUUGACCUUAUUAAGAUGAAUCUCAAAUCUUAACAUGGUAUCAGAGCCCAUUAAACUCCAAUGAGCAAUUCGAUCCGAUUAAGACUCUAAAAAUGAGUACAUGGACUGCAAGAUUGGUUUGCUCAAACAAGCCACUAUCUUGCGAGACAUGUUAAGGGAUAAAAAUUUCACCUUGGUUAAAUAACGAAAUAUUGAUCAAUUUAAAAGAUCCUGUACUACUCCUCUUAACAAGGUUGAUCUUAUUAAGAUGGGCUCUAAAUCUUAACAUAGUAUCAUACCUCAGUAAACUCCAACGGCUAUUCGAUCCGCUUAAGUCUCAAAAAUGAGCACACGAAUUUCAAGAUUUGUCUGCUCAAAAAGAGCCACCAUCUUGCAGGGGCAUGUUAAGGGAAUAAAUUACAUAUCGGUUAAAUACCGAAAUACUUAAAUAGAUCUUGGGUCACUCCUCUUAACAAGGUUGACUUUAUUAAGAUGGACCCAAAAUCUUAACACCGUCAUCAUCUCGCUCGCUUUCGAUAAAUUGCUCUCCGAAUCUGACCACACUCCCGCAGUCCUCCACGGAAAUUCGUCCUCCGCCUCAAACGCCACUGUCGCCCAUACUUACAAAAUCACUUUCAUCCUUCCUCCUCGUCACAUUCACUCAUCUUCCCCUUACACUUCUAUCCAUCCCCCAGCACCGCCACCAUCUCUACCCCACCUUAACCGCUAUCACUACGGCUAUUAAAGGCUUCAGCUGUUGGUCUGAUUGCCACCGCAACACAAUCACCACUGCACCACUCCUCUACGACUAAAUUGAGAGAGAGAAUGGCGAGGGUGGUUUGUGGUGUGGGUGUGGUUAAUAUAUGUUAAAUAAAUAAUUUUCACCUGAUUUAUGAAUUAACUUAGCGUCUGAUUAAUGAUAUGUUAACUUAAAAAAUAGGUCAGUGUGUAAUUUUCUAAAAACCUACAAUUAAAUACUAAUUAACAUAAAUAAGGGAGAAUUAGUUUAAAAUUCAAAUAUCAGAUGGUAAUAACAUUUUAAUGAAUUUAAUUAAGCACAAUAUCUAUAUUCACCCACCCCAAAAUUUAUCCCCUGCGCAUUUUCGAUUUCUCCAUCUCGAUCUCUUUAUCCACCACACCAUACCCAUCUAUCGCUGCCCCUGUCCCCAAAAUCAAGUUGUCGCCACCACCACCACGACGUAAGCAGAGCCCUUUCUUUUCUAGCGCCUCUACGAUCAACGAAACCCCUACCCACCCGUAGAGAAGAAUCGCCAUAGGCAGCGACAAUCCGAUGCGUGCGGCGGUGCAACAGCAAGGCAUCGCUGCUGCGGUGACGAGCAGCGAUGAUGUGGCUAAGUACUCCUCUGCUCCUAUAGUGUAGUCAAAUGACCUACGGGCGAUGUUGAGACCUACUUUAUUGAGUGUGUUUUCGCACUAGAAGAGUGCCUGUGGGUGGCUUAUGAUUCAAGUGAGUUGUUCGAUUUGGAACCUAGGGAUUGCGAUUAGGCAGUGGUGGAGAGAGAGUUGAACCUUGCCGACUGUGUGGAGAUGGUGGAGGAAGAGGAGGUUGUAAUUCCGGUUAAUAGAGCCGCCUAGGGAAUUCUUCCUCGGAAGCGCAGCUCUAUCAUUGAUCCAACGGUGAUAUAAAAAUUUGCAAUGUUGUUUUCCUUCCUCAAUCUAUUGAUGUAAGACAGUUUUAAUUUGAGGGAAAAUUAUCAGCUGCUCUUUUUUCAGUUUGAAAUGAUCUUUGAUGGACAGAGUGACCCUGAGAUAUAUAAUGAGUGUCUUGGACGAAGUUUUAGGACAUUUGAAGUGGUAUUUCCGCGGUAGUUGUUUGUGUAUUAUUCUUGAGAUAGAUGACGAAUAUGUUCGAAUUUAUUUGUGGUGACACUCUGUGAACAAAUAUGUAAUUAUUGUGACCGGACACACCAUCAUAGUUAAAAUUGACUUGAUUACGGGUAAUUAUACUGGAGACGAAUUUGUUACAAUUAGUCACACUGAAAACAAAUUGAGUCAUAGCUAAUCACGGAUAACAUGUGUUAUUGACUUGGUUACAUAAAAUCACAAAUUUGGCAAUCACAGAUGGUCAUACUAAGGAUAAAUGUAAUCAUAGUUAAUCACUAUAAAAAUAAAUUUGUUCACAGUUAGUCACACAUAACACGUGUUAAUGACUUAAUUACAUACAACACAAAUUAAAUGGUCACAAACAUUCAUACUUAAAAUAAAUUUGACCAUAGUUAAUCAUAUAUAACACAGUUAGCAAUAAAUUUGGAGAGCUUCCAUGCGGGUGGGGUGUAAUCUGAAAAAAUAAGAAACAUUUUAAAAUUUUUGAAUUUUUUUAAAGGUCAGGAUAGGGGAAGAGUGGGUGUCAUCUCGAUUUAUUUUAUUUAUUUUUAAAGUUUUCCAUUUUUGAAACAAAUUUAUUAGGCCUUGUUUGAUCACAUUAUUUAAAAAAAAAAAUACAUUCUUCAACAGUGAUUUGACAUCAUUUCAACCACAUAUUCUUCAAUAAAAUAAUAUUACACGUAAAUCUAAAAUUUUUCCUUAUUUUUUAACCACAUAUUUCUCAUUGAUUUGACAUGAAUAAUGCAUUUUUUUUUUUUCUAAAAUGUGACUCAAACAUGUGCUUAGUUUUGAAAUGUAAUUUUUAUAUAUAAAAGUUUUGUAUUUGAGGUCCAACUUUAACGUUCGACUCCGAUUCAAAAAUUCUCAUGUCAAACCUAGUUGGCUAGUUCCAAAUUUUAUGGGAUGUUUGAUUUAGAUUACACAAAUUAACACCCCGGCGACCACCAAAACAGAAAAACGUAUAGUUCAAAUAUUUGCUGACAUAAAAUACGACCUUCCAGGUUUGACUUCAUUGGGCUCUGCCCCAACCAAUAACAUGUUAAUCAAUUGGAAAAAAACAUUGGUUAUCAGAUCACUUGCAAUCUCUACUUUCUCUUUAGAUUGCAUAGGUUUAAAGGAACUUGGUCAAGGUAACCAUGGAUCUACAAACACCCUUAAAAAUCAUUUACCCAAAAAAAAAAAAAAAAAAAAAAAAAGGGAAGUAUAUUAAAUGACACGAGACAAAUAUUAUUUGUUUCACUUUUAUUAAUUCUCACCCUGGCACCACCCGUAGAGACCAAAUUUGUACAUUUGCCCCUUUGAUGAUCUCAACAGAUUCUCCAAUACUCUUUUCUUUUUUUCAUUCUUUUCUAUUGUAAAACUAAAGAGACUUUCUUACAAAUGAAUGGCAAAGUACCCUUUUUCAACUCUUAUCCUAUUAUUAAGAAGAUGCCUUCCAAACUUUUUAAGACUUCAUGCACAAAUUACUAUUACCAGCUUUCCUAGUACUCCAAUGGCAUCGCCAACUGCACUUUAUGUAGCUGUCGACGUAUGGUAUUCAUUAUGUUCUGUUCUGAACUGAUUGUGCUGAGUCCAGACUUCGAAUCAACCAACAGUUUUCAAUCCAACAACUUGCGUAUCACUCUGCAUCUAUCUACAAGUUACACCACCACUGGGGAUUUACACGAGUUCAUUUCCUGCAUGUUUAGACGCUGCAGACGCCUGAGGCGGGCGAUAAUCUGGCCAAAAGAAGGGCGUGCUUGUGGAUUUCUGCAGCAGAAGAAUGUCACAAAUUAGAUUUCCCAAGGGGUCAAAUAGUUCAUAUCUGUUAGCUACACCAUACGUGGUAAUUCCGGUUAAUAGAGCCGCCUAGGGAAUUCUUCCUCGGAAGCGCAGCUCUAUCAUUGAUCCAACGGUGAUAUAAAAAUUUGCAAUGUUGUUUUCCUUCCUCAAUCUAUUGAUGUAAGACAGUUUUAAUUUGAGGGAAAAUUAUCAGCUGCUCUUUUUUCAGUUUGAAAUGAUCUUUGAUGGACAGAGUGACCCUGAGAUAUAUAAUGAGUGUCUUGGAGGAAGUUUUAGGACAUUUGAAGUGGUAUUUCCGCGGUAGUUGUUUGUGUAUUAUUCUUGAGAUAGAUGACGAAUAUGUUCGAAUUUAUUUGUGGUGACACUCUGUGAACAAAUAUGUAAUUAUUGUGACCGGACACACCAUCAUAGUUAAAAUUGACUUGAUUACGGGUAAUUAUACUGGAGACGAAUUUGUUACAAUUAGUCACACUGAAAACAAAUUGAGUCAUAGCUAAUCACGGAUAACAUGUGUUAUUGACUUGGUUACAUAAAAUCAC
rnacentral:lncRNA from 1 species